CCUGCCUCUACACGGGGCCUUAACUCUAAGGCAGACCUAGGUACACAUUCUCGAGUACCAGAAAUCAGAAGAUUGCAGCCAACACAGACGUAAGAAGCUUAAAAGGUGACCAAACCGCACUUUUAAAAUACCAAUGUCUAUCUUAAUGUGACUGCCUAACAACACCUACCAAAUGCCUACUCUUGGAUCCUAUCUGCUUUUUCAUUGAAGUGUAUGGUAAAACUAUCACCAUACAAAGGAGGAUUUCAGCCAGUAGACCCUGAUUCUC